ACUUUGAAAAAUAAAUACUUAUAACUCAGUGCUAAACAUAAUUUCGCAGAUUAUGCUGAGAAGCACCGUAAGGUCGGAUGUAAUAAGUUUUUAAAGGAUACUUUAAAACGCAAUCCGUGUAGUAAAUCGAGAGAUUUAUUAUGUAGAGGAUGGAAAAUCUCAAACCAAGGUGUGGUACUGGUUUUAACGCAAGUAAAGGUAGUAAGCGAGUGGGCGGCGCAAUAGAUAGCAGAACUAAUACUUUUGCCGAAUCUAAGUUAGACUUUGCGGGUGGUGCUGAAAGUAAACCUUAGAAAUACCAUAAGCCGUUUUGUCGUGAAACGAAGAAAUUCGUGUAUAACACUUGUAUGCAACUCCGAGUAGCCAAAAUGACAAGGCUGUAAUUCAAGUAAAUGUAAUUUCAAAUAUUGAUUUUAAUAGAAGAUUAAAAUUUUUACUUUGUGAAUUGCUGGUGAAAGGUGCAGGUAAUCAUUCCUGUCAGGGUUUUAUGAAGUUUAACUUCUGGGGUAGGAAAGUUAUGGGGUAGCUCCCUAUGGCUCACGCCUAUUUCCUCUGUGACUGAAUAUACUUGAAGUUAAUACGCAGUAGGUUGAAGAACCAUAAGAUAUUUAUUUUUCAA
rnacentral:ncRNA from 1 species